rnacentral:rRNA from 1 species
UACGUAGGGUGCGAGCGUUGUCCGGAAUUAUUGGGCGUAAAGGGCUCGUAGGCGGUUUGUCGCGUCGGGGGUGAAAACCUUGGGCUUAACUCAGGGCUUGCUUUCGAUACGGGCAGACUAGAGGUAUGCAGGGGAGAACGGAAUUCCUGGUGUAGCGGUGAAAUGCGCAGAUAUCAGGAGGAACACCAGUGGCGAAGGCGGUUCUCUGGGCAUGAUCUGACGCUGAGGAGCGAAAGUGUGGGGAGCGAACAGG